rnacentral:lncRNA from 1 species
CUUUGAUGCUGAAACCAGCUGCCAUGUUGGAGGAACCUGCAAGGCAAGAAAUCCAGGGCAGCUUCUAGUCAGCAUCCAGCAGAGAACUGGGUCCUCAGCCCAACGGCCCAAAAGGAAGUGAAACCUGCCAACAGCCACCGGAUGAGUUUGGAAGUAUAUCUUGUCCCAGUUGAACCUUGUGUUGACUGUAGCCCAACUGGAGUAAUUUUCAAUGCAGCAAUAGAUAAAGAAUAUACC